rnacentral:SRP_RNA from 1 species
UAUAUUUGCUAUUACAACAGUUAUAGUGAAUCGUGUUAGGGUAGAAAUACAGCAGCACUAAGCUUUAAUAAUUGUGUGUAAUAGCUUUUAUUUUGUA